rnacentral:rRNA from 1 species
AGUGAACGCUGGCGGUAGGCCUAACACAUGCAAGUCGAGCGGCCAUCCAGGAAUGUCAGCCGCAGACGGGUGAGGAACAGCGGGGAAGGUACGCUUAGAUCGGGAACUACUUUUGCAUACGGGAUCUCAUAGCGGAACCGCCCCUAAGAGCACAGGUUAACUGCCGAAGAAUCGGCCCGCGCCUGAUUAGCUAGUUGGUGGGGUAAGGGCCUACCAAAUCGGCGAGCAGUAGCGGGAAUGAGAGGAUGAUCAGCCACACUGGGACUGAGACACGGCCCAGACUCCUACGGGAGGCAGCAGUGGGGAAUAUUGGACAAUGGGCGCAAGCCUGAUCCAGCCAUGCCGCGUGAGUGAUGAAGGCCUUAGGGUUGAAAAGCUCUUUUGUCCGGGACGAUAAUGACGGUACCGGAAGAAUAAGCCCCGGCUAACUUCGUG